AAUAGAUACCCGGGUAGUCCACCCCGUAAACGUUGGGAACUAGUUGUGGGGUCCUUUCCACGGAUUCCGUGACGCAGCUAACGCAUUAAGUUCCCCGCCUGGGGAGUACGGCCGCAAGGCUAAAACUCAAAGGAAUUGACGGGGACCCGCACAAGCGGCGGAGCAUGCGGAUUAAUUCGAUGCAACGCGAAGAACCUUACCAAGGCUUGACAUACACCAGAACACCCUAGAAAUAGGGGACUCUUUGGACACUGGUGAACAGGUGGUGCAUGGUUGUCGUCAGCUCGUGUCGUGAGAUGUUGGGUUAAGUCCCGCAACGAGCGCAACCCUCGUUCUAUGUUGCCAGCACGUAAUGGUGGGAACUCAUGGGAUACUGCCGGGGUCAACUCGGAGGAAGGUGGGGAUGACGUCAAAUCAUCAUGCCCCUUAUGUCUUGGGCUUCACGCAUGCUACAAUGGCCGGUACAAAGGGCUGCAAUACCGUGAGGUGGAGCGAAUCCCAAAAAGCCGGUCCCAGUUCGGAUUGAGGUCUGCAACUCGACCUCAUG
rnacentral:rRNA from 1 species